UACGGAGGGUGCGAGCGUUGUCCGGAAUCAUUGGGCGUAAAGGGCGCGUAGGUGGCCCGGUCAGUUCGUGGUGAAAGCGCGGGGCUCAACCCCGAGCCUGCAGUGGAUACGGGCAGACUAGAGGUAGGUAGGGGAGAAUGGAAUUCCCGGUGUAGCGGUGAAAUGCGCAGAUAUCGGGAGGAACACCGGUGGCGAAGGCGGUUCUCUGGGCCUUACCUGACGCUGAGGAGCGAAAGCGUGGGGAGCGAACAGG
rnacentral:rRNA from 1 species